rnacentral:tRNA from 1 species
GGAUUGUGGCUCAGCGGUAGAGAACUCGCCUAGCAUGCGUGGGGUCCUGGGUUCGAUCCUCAGCACCA